GCCAUUCUAUAUUUUAAAUGCCAGUUUUAAAUACAAAUAUCAUAGUAUUCACACACGGAAUUACACAAUACAGAAAUCACACAAUUUGUGAGUUAUGAUUUGCUCCGGGGGUGUCUUGAACUGUCCAGAAGAGGCAAACGCUAGAGAGACAGAGGAAGAUGAUAAAGAGGAAAGGAGCCCUCCCAAUCCACCCCCAAGCUCAGAGCCGGAGUACGCGGCGCUCCAGGGGCCAGCGGACACUCUCCUGGACGGCCCCGCAGGGCGCAUCCCUCCCGCAGGCAGGCAGCGAAGAAGGCCGGCGCCGGGCUGCUGGGUCCGGCUCCUGCCAGCUGCUGACCGCGGCGCCGCGUCCUCGCCGGGCGAAGCCUAGCGACUUCAGGUCAGGUGUCUCUCCUUCCCUAGGGCCCGCCGCCCACACCGGGGCAGAAAAGCGACUCCCAAUGGUAUGGAGACCUUCGCAUCGGUCCAGCUCUCGCCCCUGGACCCGGGGGUGAGCAAACUCCAGGCCACGGGAGCGAAACGUACAACUUGAUUUGUCAUCAGGAUGAUACUGUCAUGCCUCUGCUGUUGUCCAGAAGGUAGUCUUUUUUGAGUCCUACUGCUAGGCACAGUGGGUUUCCCAGGUGGCCAGGUGGCGUAGUGGUGAAGAAUCUGCCUGUCAGUGUGGGGGCACAAGAGACAUGGGUUUGAUCUCUGGGUCGGGAAGAUCCCCUGGAGUAGCAAAUGGCAGUCCUUUCUAGUAUUCUUGCCUGGAGAAUUCCAUGGACAGAGCCUGCAGGGUUACAGUCCAUGGAUUCAAAAAGAGUAGAACAUGACUUAGCGACUGAGGAUGCAUACAUGCUAAGCUAAGCAUCUGAAGUUUUUUAAGAUUAAAGAUCAUUUGAAAUGCUGCGAGGCAUGUGGGAUCCUAGCUCCAUGACCAGGGAUCGAACCCACACCCCCUGCACUGGAAGGCUAAGCCAAUGCUGGACUGCCAGGGAAGACUCUGCUGUUUCUUAUAAAGCUAAAGGGAC
ensembl:lncRNA